GUAAGGCAAAUCAUCUUCAGACAUGGCAAGAAGACGACCAUUAAAGUAUACCAACCCAGCGUUAGCAACACCCGUCCCAUGGCUAGGAUCAACGAUCCCAAAAAGGCCACGAGCACAAAAAAGCAACAGCCUAGCUAUCCCGGAGUGGCCAUGGAGUUCACCGAUGGCCUUUGGGAAAACGGGGCGUCCCAAUUUUCUCUCUUGAACAAGCCUGUUUGUCUCCGUGAACCGACAAGCAUAGCUGACAGACCCGUUCUCAAAGCGGACAGCAUGGACCAUCCCAUCACCAUCAAAAAAGUGGUGACCAGCCACAGGUUCGUGAAGCGGGUUUGCGCCGUUUCGAAGAUAAACACCUCGAAUGCUGUCUGGGAUUUUACCGGCAACAGGCAAAUUAUGUACAACGGGUUGCUCCGGCACGGGAGCGAAGUUACCUGAAAUUUGGACUGUUGGGUCAGCAGUUUUGGGAAGAGGGUAUUGAUUUUCAUGUGAAACCAAAGCACUUUCCACAGCAUCUAAGGCCAUAGCUGCAGCCCUUUGUAAAAGAUUCAAUUGGUUGAUCUCUGGUGCCAAGGAUUUAUCAACAGAAGGAGCAGGAGGAAGAGUGACUUUGUUAGGAAUAGUUGUGGAAAUAGAAGGAGAGGGAGGAAAAGAAGUGGUUCUGGGGGACUGUUUAGGGAAAUGGAGAAUGGAAGGAGUAUGGAGAGAGGAGGAGAUGUUGAGUUUUGUACUAGCCCUAGGCGCGUCAAGAGAAAUGGAAGAGCCCAUGCUUAUAGCUGAAGAAGCCAUGGUGAUGAAAUUCAGAGGAAUAAUGCGUAAAUUAAAUAUAAGCUGUUAAGGCGUGGAAGAUAUAAUAAAGAGCUAG
rnacentral:misc_RNA from 1 species